ensembl:lncRNA
GCCCUGUCUGAGGUGUGACGAGUGUCUCUCACAGGAGAUUAACAUUUUAGAGUCCCCGCUUCCCUCCCGCCCGCUUCACAACCCCAACGCUCCAGAAUCCCACAGGAAAAACAAAAACGUUUCUCCAAUGGAUAAAAAGCUUUGACCUUUUAUCAGCUGCAGGAAAUGCAUUAGCCGCCUCAUAAUCCAAUUUAUAGCACCAUGCAAAGGAUGGGUCUGCAUGGCGGAUUGAGAGGGAAAGGAGCAGAGAAAAACACCUUGGUGAAAAAAUCUCAGACAAUUUGGUGUGAAGGAUGGGGUGCUAACUCUGCUUGCUGAUUGCUCCCGGGGAGACUGGUGUUAACUGUGCGCAGGGGCUGCGUUUGAUGUGGCCGGGAGCCCCACACUCUGACUAAGGGGAGCAGAAAAGGGACCCGCCUCGGACCUGGCAGGGAGCGUCAGUGACUGGACACUGAACAGACAAAAUAGGGCCCACUCUACAAAUGGAAAGGCUUUCCUUGGCUUGUUGCAGCGCUUAGCUGCUGGGAAUGUAAUCCUUUGAACGGAGCGUGGAUCUAAGCUUAGUCCCAAAUGGCACCUGAAAGGAAAUUGUAUAAUAUAUGUACAUUGUAGGAACACCUGUAAUUACAAAAGUACAAUGAUUCAUGUUUUGCUUUAGCUUGAGAUUAAGAAUCAGUGGUAGACACUUUGUAGGUACAUGAAGAGGUCAACUGUACAAAAGUCAUAUGCCUGUUUGUUGAAACACUACUUUCAUUUCCUGCUGAUGCUAUAUUCCAGUCUUAAUUCUGCUAGCACAUGAUAAUAAUAGGAGGAAGUAUGAUUGGGAAGCUUAUGUGAUAUUAAAGUUACUGUAAAUGCAAAUUAAUCUAAGUGUAUACUCCGGGUUGCAUUCUGGCUUGCAAUCCUUAUUAAACAAACUAACCUCUGAUCAAAGAAGUUUCCUGUGGUCUCUUGUAUGAACUCAGGGCAGAAAUCCCUUACAC